UGUAGCUCAGUGGUAGAGUGUUUGCCUAUCAUGCAUGAGACCAUGGAUUCAAUCCCCAUCA
rnacentral:tRNA from 1 species